UAUUUUUAUACGCCUCACUUCCGAAAGGCGAAUCAUCUUAUUUUUAAUCUCAUAUAUACCCUUUCAUUAUUGAUAAAGAGAAAAUCAUCGUUUAAUUUAUUUAUUAAUAAUACUCUUUCAGAUCUGAAAUUAAAUCGUCUCUCCUCCUCUUUCAGCCACCACCACCGUCACCGCCUCUGCCACCAUAACCACCUCUGCUACUACCACCGCCUCCGCCAUCACCACUACCACCACCGGUGCAGUAGCCAACAGAUUAAUACCCAAGAAAACCAGUUGAUUAUUUUUGGUUCAUUUGAGAGAGAGAUAUAUUUUCGGAGGUGAUUUGAAAUUUUGGGGGAGAUAUCUUCAUCUAAAAUCAAUUAAAUUUUCGAGAUCGACCUUCAUAGUCAUCAUCAACAGUUUCAUCUUCUUCUUCUCAAACUAAGAGUUAUUUCAAUGUCGAUUGAAGAUCCAAACGACAGAGGUAGAAAUUAGAUUUUCGAAUUUGUUUCUGGUUGGUAAGGCAUAUGAAUAUGGCGGAGGAGGUGAUUUAUAGUAGUAUGGUGCAGGUACUGGAGAGGGUGGUCGAGGAGGUGGUGAUUUGUAGUAGUUAGAGCAGGUAUUGGAGAUAGUGGAGGUGACAUGUAAUAUGGAACAUGUACUCUAUAUUUCCGAUAUUUAACUUCAGGUAGAAGUGUUGCACACUCAAUUUUAGGUCUGCAAUUCAUUUCUAGUAAGGCUCUUACUGCAUCAAACUAAGUCUUGGUUGUUUGCACUUGAUCAGAGUGUUUCUUUCAUCACUUACAAAUGACUAUCUUAAACUAAUAAUGUUGAUGGUUGCAUCACUUACAGUGUCUAUGGUAAAUAUAUAUGUUAUUGGAUUUAAGUUGUUGAGAGUUAUGACCAUCAACUUCAAUGCUUCGUACUAUUUCAAUUGAGCAGUUGCGAAAGAUUACAAAGUUCAGGUAUCUCAAAUUACCUUGAGAUUACAGAGAUGGACUUGGCAUCCUUAACUCAUGGAUUCUGUAUGGGACUCAAGUCCUGCGUCAUUGUGUUCCUCUCCUUGUGCUUGUGUCAACCUAUCUACUUGUUGUUCGUCUGUCAGGCUUGUCAAUUUCUUCAUAAACAUUUUCAAUAUUGGUGAUGGAAAAGGUGGAAUUGGUUAGGGACUGGAGUUGGAGCUAGAGAGCGUGUACGCAAGUGGUGGUAUUAGUGAAGUAGUUGGACUGGAAGAGGUGGAAUUGGUUGGGGUCUGGAGUUGGAGCUAAUGAACAAAGGUAGUUGACACAACCAACAGCGGUGGUGGUAGACUGGCGGCGGGUGGCGGCGGCGGCGCGACGAUGGUGGAUUGGCGGCGGCGCGACGAUGGUGGAUUGGCGGCGGCGCGGCGGUGGUGGACUGGUGGUUGUGGCGGUAUACCGGUGGUGAACUAGCGGUGGUGGUGGUGUUCCGGUGGUGGUGGCAGUUGGUAGGUGGUGCUGGAUAUGUGGUGGUGCCAACAGUGGUGGUGGUGGCGGCGAAGUGGUGUUCCGGUGGUGGUGGCAGUUGGUAGGUGGUGCUGGAUAUGUGGUGGUGCCAACAGUGGUGGUGCCAACAGUGGUGGUAGAGAAAGAAAUUUGUUGUAUAGAUCGAAAUAAAGAAAAAUAUUUUAUGGGUGAGGGUUUUAAUGUAAUCUAUUUUUAAUUAGAUAAUUUUUUUAAAUGAUACGAUAUAUUUAUUAUUGGAUAAGAGUAUAUUUAUUGGAUGUCAAAAUUAGGGGUAUAUAAUUAAUGUACCCUUAUUGAAAAUCCAGAUUUUGAUCUUGA